GAUGAACGCUGGCCGCGUGCUUAACACAUGCAAGUCGAACGGAAAGGCUCCUGCUUGCAGGGGUACUCGAGUGGCGAACGGGUGAGUAACACGUGGGUGAUCUGCCCUGCACUUCGGGAUAAGCCUGGGAAACUGGGUCUAAUACCGGAUAGGACCACAUUUUGGAUGGUGUGGUGGAAAGUUUUUCGGUGUGGGAUGAGCUCGCGGCCUAUCAGCUUGUUGGUGGGGUAAUGGCCUACCAAGGCGUCGACGGGUAGCCGGCCUGAGAGGGUGUACGGCCACAUUGGGACUGAGAUACGGCCCAGACUCCUACGGGAGGCAGCAGUGGGGAAUAUUGCACAAUGGGCGCAAGCCUGAUGCAGCGACGCCGCGUGGGGGAUGACGGCCUUCGGGUUGUAAACUCCUUUCGCUAGGGACGAAGCGCAAGUGACGGUACCUGGUGAAGAAGCACCGGCUAACUACGUG
rnacentral:rRNA from 1 species